CUGGAGAUCAUCUUUAAUAUCAUUGACAAAGAUCACUCAGGUAGGUCUAGGUAACCUCACCAUGCCAGUUCUAGAAAACCUGUACCAGUCACUUUUCCCCACUGUGUCUCCUCCUUAAGGCUUCCAAAUAUAGAGGAACCAGAGGUGAUGUCAUUUUUCCAGUUUAGUGAAGACUAAUUUAAGCAGUCAGGCUGUAACCAUAUAAGGGACAGUGCACACAGCCCAGCUUGAUUAAAAAUUCUCACAGAGCCCAUCUCCAGUACUGCCUUCGCUCUUUUGGGGGCUUUUUCUCCUUUCCACUCCCAGUUAUCUCACAUGUUCUCAAAUCUGCUGCUGAAAGCAUUAGAUCAUUACCUGAAAAUGUACUUCAGUCAUGAAAUCAAAACAUACACCCAAGCUAUGGUAGGCAGGUAACUUCUUUGCAGCAAAGGUGUGUGCGUGCAUGCUUUUGUGAAUGCAGGGAGGAGAAACAGCACUGGAAAAAGCAACCUUCUGCCUGUCUCCUUUAGGUCUGAUUUCCCUUGAGGAGUUUCGUCACACAUGGAAACUCUUCACUUCUCACCUGGGCAUUGAUGUAACCGAUGAAUCCCUUGACAAGUUAGUCCUCAGCAUAGACUACAACAAAGAUGGCUACAUUGACUUCAAUGAGUUUUUAGAGGCCUUUCACGUGGUUCAUAGACUAGAGAGAAAGGCAAAUUCAUGAAAAAGCAGAUCUUCUUGUGGACUAUGAUGGCAGCUCACAUUCCCAUUGAAAUCAUAAGCAGUCUGGGAAACUGGUAAUAAAUGGGCUCAAUAUGGUACUUGUGGCUGUCACUGCGUAAGCAUUUCUUUUGUCCCUUUUGGGUGACAUACACCUGAUUGAUUGAUAGUAAUGAGACCAAGGAGAUGAAAACCCACUGCUUUUGGUAUUACUGUGUCACUGCCACAUCAGUACAACUUAUCCUCCCACUUGGUGGCAUCUCCCCCAUAAGUCUAAGCCAUGAACACUGUCACAGAUGCACCUUCAGCCCCAUGAGAAGAGAAACUUGGGCAUGUUUCUGACAGCAGCCCUUAGCAAUGGCUGAGAAACAGCACUGGUGACCACAAGGAACGUACCAGAUCCUCCAUAGUGAUACCACAGGCACAACAGCCCCAGAGAGGAAAACAAGGCAGAAUCACCAUCUAGUUAAAAUAAGGGGUUUUGCUUUUAAUCCUGCUCCUUGCGUGACACAGUGGAAUUACAACAUUCCAGGUCACUACCUACCCUCCUCCUUAGAGUUUACAGGCACAACUCAGAGUGUCUUAGCUGAAUGGCGUUUACUCUUGCACGAGGUUUCCUCUUGCCACUUGUUACUUUUCCCUGCAUUUCUUGGCAUUUGGAGCUAAGCAACAAUCAUAACUUGUCACCCCAACAAAGGCUGAAGCCUCAGCAUGCUCAUGUCACCCAUGCUAGAUCACUAAAUAAAGCUUUGGCUUCCACAGUAACAUUUAAGUGUGGUGUCUUUUUGCCUGUAUUUUGGAGUCCUACACACAUCUGAGUACAACACACUCUUCCUGAAGAUGAACUGAGUACAACACACUCUUCCUGAAUUUCUGUUUUAAAACACAGAAAUUAACAAGAACCCCAAGUAAACAAAUUUUGAUACUACCAAGCCUAAAUAUUCUUGCAUAUAGUUAAGCAUGAAUGCUUUACUAAGUAAACUGACAAAUUCUGAAACUGAAUGUUGGGAACACAACAAGAUGGAAAAGCCCAGUGCCCCCACGCCCCUCCUGGGCUGCCAGCCAAUACUCCUGUUCCUACCAGUCCCAUCCACCUGCCGAGAGAGGGGAGUGGGGAGAUCUGGAUCUCUUGCAUGUCCCAGUUGGAAAGAAACUCAUGGACAUGAAGUGAAGCAUGGCCAGGUCAGGCACUUUCUGAAAACAGCAUUACCUAAUUCAGCCUUAGUACAUCCAGUGUGCCAAAAGUGCUUUUUGGGUAGGAAAAGGUUCCAGCCCAGCCCCUCUUUAGAUUUUCAUGGCGCAAGACACGCUAGGCUUUAUUUAAUCACAGUCUGGAAAGUACAGAACAAAGUGCCCAUCCCAGUUCACCAUCCCAGGAUGUAACAGCAGCCUAAGCUGAGGGCACUGCUCUCUUCCUUACGUUUUGCUGUCUACAGUAACUUGACAGAUGAAUGAACAAACAUGCACACACAUACUUCUACUGCCCAGGGGAGGGAGGAAAGAAAAAUCUUAAAUAGUGCAAACAAAAUUUGCAGUAAAAUUUUAAUGGUUGGUAAUACGGACUGUUCGAUUUGAGCACACAUUUAUUGUGAGCUAUGCACCUUACUCCAGUGGAGCAACAAAAAAGGGCCCACACCUGAUGGAUAAACACCACCAUGUCUGGUGGGAUCUCGCCUCCAACCCUGGUUUCCUUGGGACAAGGCGGAAUGGGACAGUGCAGCCCUGCAGUCUACCUUUGCCACCAGCCCCUCCACUGUGUGCUCCGAGUCAGUCACAGCUAAUUAUUGUGGGCAGUGCCCCUGACCAGCCCUGAGGCUGCCGCAGGCCUGGCUGGCCUCCCCCUAACCCUGUCCAACCCAAACCAGUCUGUGAUUCUAUGAAAUAGCUUAGGGCAGCAGUGCUGCUCAGACUGGAAAGACGCAGUCUCAGGUUGGUCUAUUUUAAUUCGUUACUGCCCUUGAUUCUGAGGCAUGCGAUGUGUCUCUUUGCCUUUGCCUCUUUUCCAUACUGAGUUUCCAGGGACCUGAAGCUGGAUGUGUAAUUUUGUACUGCUCCCCUGGAAAGCCUGACAGCCACGCUGAGCCUCUGCCAGUGAGCUCAGCCCCACGCAAAGUGCAAAGGCAUCACAGAUUUUAACUAGGCGCACACCCUUGCCUGACCACUGCUAGCUCUGCUUUGCAACAGCUUAACACCACCCCCCCCAGGUGGGUCCUCAGUGAAGCAGGGGGUCUAUAUAAAACCUUAUUUGCUGAAUUAGGUUUGCACUAAAACGCGACACUCCCAUUGGAAUGGUUCUUUGGUCUGAAUAGUAAUGCAGCAGUAAGUUGGAGCUGUGCCUUGUAGGGAAAAAAAAAAAAAAAAGUAGUCUGAGGGAAAACUCAUUUUGCAUCUUCCAAAACCUAGGAUUCAACAGGAAAAGCAAAACCAGCUGCUACUACUGACCUUUUGUAUGGUACUAGAUAGAACAAGAAACCAUUGCACAGGCUUUCGUGUGCUCACGCUCUGCACUGCCACAUCUGUCUGCUUAAAACUAGACAAAGGAUUUUGUUUUCAUUUACUGAGAAACAAGCUAAGUGCUCUCUCACAAUACAUAUGAAAACAAAAAACCCCAAUAAAACAAACCAUAAUGAAGGCAAAUCCCUGCACAACAGGCACUACACCAAUAAAAUGACUUCCACAUCCAAGUGCUAAUUUUACCUGAGCUGUACCUUUGCACCAACUCCUCAACAGGUCCACAGUUUUCAUGGUGGCUGACACAGGAUAGGCCUCUCUCAGGGCAUCCAGCCCAAGGGCCCCCAGACCCCUGGACUGCCAAACUCUCCUGCUCGCUGAAAAAAAAACCAGAAUCACCUCCUAAGGCCUCCCACGCCUUCGCUCUGUUUAACCCAGUGUCCUGUGUCUGUUUAGCUCAGUUGCUACAAUAAGCAGCGACUCUGCGGAGGGGCAGCAGGCAGGGUAGCGUGGCUGUCAGGAGCAUAGCCUCCCCAGGACCGUGGGUGCUGGCAAGUGAGGUUUACUUCCCUCCUUUCAUCAAGGUAUUUCAGAUAUCUGUAUAAAACUGGAACCAAAAAUCUCAUUCUCAAAAGCACCACGUACUUCUGUUACAGAAAAAAAGUUUUCAAAUCCUAUAAAAAUGGCAUAGUUAUGUUUUGAAAGAGCGGAGGGAGUCUCACAGAAAUAUGCUUAUCAGGCUUAUUAGGACAAAAAACACUUCUUACAGGUUGCCCAAGGAAGUUGUGGAUGCUCCAUCCCUGGCAGUGUUCAAGGCCAGGCUGGACAGAGCCUUGGGCGACAUGGUUUAGUGCGAGGUGUCCCUGCCCAUGGCGGGGAGGUUGGAACUAGAUGAUCUUAAGACCCUUUCCAACCCUUACUAUUCUAUGAUUCUGUGAUUCUGUAUCUGCUCUUUUCCACUCUCCCUGGCAAGACAGAAUUACUCUGAUUCUCCCUGCUGUGCCAGCACACCUCCACACCCCUGAGGGAGGCUACAGCUACAGGUGCUUUCCAAAGCUGUCAGCGGGAUGCGUGCUGGCUGCUGGCACCUGGGGUACAGCAGGGUUUUCCAUUCCAGAAGCAGCCUACCUCUAUUUUCAGAGUAAAUGGCCACAGAGCCAUUUCCCUGCAGGACACACCUAUUCUUCAGAAACUGGUUUCCAGUGGACAGAUUGAAGGAGCAGCACUAACCUGGGAGAUGUCUGAAGGGAGACUUCCAGGCAGCCCAGCGCGCUAACUGCAUGUGACAAGUGCAACUUCAAAUGAAAACAAAAAAAAACCCCAACCCAACAAAAAAAACCAAACCCAAACGAACAAAACAAAAAAAAAAAAAAAAAAGA
ensembl:lncRNA